AGGAAAAUGUUCCUGUUAUAGUACUUUUCCCCUUGAAAAGCAUCACUUAUUAGCAGUGUUAUUAUCUAUGUUUUCAGGACGAUUCCCACCUCUACCUCCACUUUGUUUUUUCUUCCUUUAAACUGUUUUGUCCCCAGGAAUGAUAACUCUGUGCUGGUGUAUUGUGCUGCCUACAGGAACCAGUGUUUGAUCAACAGUUCACUGGAAAUCUCUUACUACCCCAGAGCAGCAAGAACGAAUGCAUAUUUACAACUCCAUCUUUCAUCUGAAUAUGACAUCCAUCUGAACAUGCCUCAAUCCUUGUCAUGGUAAAUAAAAGUGAGUGGAGGUGUCAACA